rnacentral:misc_RNA from 1 species
GAUGAAGAACGUAGCGAAACGCGAUACUUGGUGUGAAUUGCAGAAUCCCGUGAACCAUCGAGUCUUUGAACGCAAGUUGCGCCCGAAGCCAUUAGGCCGAGGGCACGCCUGCCUGGGCGUCACACGUCGUUGCCCCCCCAUCUACUCCUUCGGGAUUGCGGGGGGCGGAUGAUGGCCUCUCGUGCGCCUCGUCGCGCGGUUGGCCUAAAUGCCAAGUCCUCGGCGACGCACGCCACGACAAUCGGUGGUUGCGAAACCUCGGUUGCCUGUCGUGUGCGGUCGUCGCGCAUCGAGGGCUCGAAAAAAUUGCCGGGCUUCGGCUCGACUUUCAACGCGACCCCAGGUCAGGCGGGGUUACCCGCUGAAUUUAAGCAUAUCAAUAAGCGGAGGA